AUGUGGCUAAACCUUCUGUCCAUACUUGUGGUCCUCAAAGGAGUCCAAUCUCAAGUCCAGUUGGUGGAGUCUGGAGGAGAUGUGAGAAGACCUGGAGAGUCCCUCCGUCUCUCCUGCCAAGCCUCUGGAUUCACCUUCAGCAGCUAUGACAUGCACUGGGUGAGACAGGCUCCAGGAAAAGGACUGGAAUGGAUUGCACGUAUCUAUUAUGAUUCCAGUAAAAAAUUCUACUCUGACAAAGUGAAGGGACGCUUCACCAUCUCCAGGGACAAUAACAAAAGCCAGCUGUAUCUGCAAAUGAACAGCCUCAAAACUGAAGACACAGGAGUCUAUUACUGUGCAAGACACACAGAUUAUGAAAAAAAAUGUGGAGACUUUGGAAAGAUGACAACUAUGAAGGUUAAAAGUCUGGAGGGUAAAACACAUGAAGAACGGGUGAGACAUUCUCCUGGGAAAGGACUGGAAUGGGUAGCCCGCAUAAGUACAGGCUCAUCUCCUUCCACUUACUACCCAGAUAAAGUCAAGGGCCGCUUCACCAUCUCCAGGGAUGAUUCCCGCAGCCAGUUGUAUCUGCAAAUGAACAAUCUCAAACUGGAGGACACAGCUGCCUAUUACUGCUCAACUUGCACAGUGAGAGGAAGUGAAUCUGAUGCUGAGCAAAAACCUUCUCAUCAGGGCAGCUCUGAAAAUUGA